rnacentral:tRNA from 1 species
GGCGGAAGAGGUGGCAAUUGGUAGCCACGCCCGUCUCGAAAACGGGAAGCCGCAACCGCGGCCGGGUUCGAUUCCUAUUUCCGCCG